UACGUAGGGCGCAAGCGUUAUCCGGAAUUAUUGGGCGUAAAGAGCUCGUAGGCGGUUUGUCGCGUCUGCCGUGAAAGUCCGGGGCUCAACUCCGGAUCUGCGGUGGGUACGGGCAGACUAGAGUGAUGUAGGGGAGACUGGAAUUCCUGGUGUAGCGGUGAAAUGCGCAGAUAUCAGGAGGAACACCGAUGGCGAAGGCAGGUCUCGUGGGCAUUAACUGACGCUGAGGAGCGAAAGCAUGGGGAGCGAACAGG
rnacentral:rRNA from 1 species